AAUCCAUAGGUUAAUGAGGCGAACCGGGGGAACUGAAACAUCUAAGUACCCCGAGGAAAAGAAAUCAACCGAGAUUCCCCCAGUAGCGGCGAGCGAACGGGGAGGAGCCCAGAGCCUGAAUCAGCAUGUGUGUUAGUGGAAGCGUCUGGAAAGGCGCGCGAUACAGGGUGACAGCCCCGUACACAAAAGCGCAUGUGCUGUGAGCUCGAUGAGUAGGGCGGGACACGUGGUAUCCUGUCUGAAUAUGGGGGGACCAUCCUCCAAGGCUAAAUACUCCUGACUGACCGAUAGUGAACCAGUACCGUGAGGGAAAGGCGAAAAGAACCCCGGCGAGGGGAGUGAAAAAGAACCUGAAACCGUGUACGUACAAGCAGUGGGAGCCCCACCACCAAAGCGUUUCGCUUUGUGUGGUGCACAAA
rnacentral:rRNA from 1 species